CAGUAGCGUAUAUUAAAGUUGUUGCAGUUAAAAAGCUCGUAGUUGGAUUUCUGCUUGUAGCGUUGGGUCAGCUGGGGUUACCCAUGCGAGUACCUGUUCGCUCCUUGCAUCCUUCUAGAGAACGGCUCUCUCCUUCAUUGGCAGUGGGGUCGCAAUCUAGAUCUUUUACUUUGAAAAAUUAAGAGUGUUUAAAGCAGGCUUGUGCUAUGAAUACAUUAGCAUGGAAUAAUAAUUUAGGACUUUAGUUCUAUUUUGUUUGGUUUCUAGGACUGAAGUAAAUGAUUGAUAGGGAUAGUUGGGGGGUUGGCUAGUAUUCAGUGGCCAGAGGUGAAAUUCUUGGAUUCACUGAAGACUAACUUAUGCGAAAGCAUUCACCAAGGAUGUCUUCUUUUAAAUCAAG
rnacentral:rRNA from 1 species